UUUCAGUGACACAAAUGGUCUGCUGCAGCAGGCAUGCCAUAACUGUCACCACUGACCUACAACAAGGCCUGCCUGGCAUGCAGCCAUGACUAUGUGAAUGAAACUAGCCACCAGCUAUAUGCCAAGCUCUUUCCAGAGAAAAAAAAGAUUGAGUAGAAUGUCUGCUUCUGAAUAAGACAGAAUCACAGAAAUCAGACCAACCAACCCUUCCACUAUAAACGAAGAAGAAAGAAACAUGUGAGGCUACUGUUUGCAGAACACUGAACAUCAGUUGAGGAGGACAGCGACCUGUGAGAAAUGGAAAAUGAGGUGUUCACAGUUAAAGAGUGCCUAAAACCUUAGAAGAGAUUUUGAACUUGGACUUUUCAGCAAUCCUGGAACUGUUAAAAUUUUGGCUACAUAUAAACAUGCACCAAGUGUAUUUUGCAUAAAGAGAUGUAUGUAAGUCUUUUUUGAAUGUUAUGGUUUAGAUAAAGAUACCUCCAAAAGGUACAUGUAUUCAAAGGUGGGCAUUUGGAAAGAUCAUGGGGGCACUAUCAUCACUGAUGGAUUAAUCCCCUGAGUUCAUAGCUAAAUUUGCUCUUAGGAGGGGGGCCUGGUUAGAAGAAUGG